GACGAACGCUGGCGGCGUGCCUAAUACAUGCAAGUCGAACGAACCGCGACUGAGUGCUUGCACUUGGUCAAGGUGAGUGGCGAACGGGUGAGUAACACGUGGGUAACCUACCUCAUAGUGGGGGAUAACAGUCGGAAACGACUGCUAAUACCGCAUAGGACAUGGAAUCACAUGAUUCCGUGAGGAAAGGUGGCGCAAGCUAUCGCUAAGAGAUGGACCCGCGGUGCAUUAGCUAGUUGGUAGGGUAAAGGCCUACCAAGGCGAUGAUGCAUAGCCGACCUGAGAGGGUGAUCGGCCACAUUGGGACUGAGACACGGCCCAAACUCCUACGGGAGGCAGCAGUAGGGAAUCUUCCGCAAUGGACGCAAGUCUGACGGAGCAACGCCGCGUGAGUGAAGAAGGUCUUCGGAUCGUAAAGCUCUGUUGUUAGAGAAGAACAGCGCAUAUGA
rnacentral:rRNA from 1 species